rnacentral:lncRNA from 1 species
GCUCAUGUCAUUUUUAAAAAUUGGGAUAUUCCUACGCCCUUCUCUAUAUAUCAACUGUCCUUAUUUGUCUCGAUUGCUAGUUUCUAAAUUGUGCCAGAAAGUCCUUCUAAGACUUUCACAGAUUAUAUUAUUCACUUAGCUGAAGUCGGUAUCACGAUAGAAGCCACCUCACCAAGGUUGAAGGAUGGGAGCUCAAAAGCCUCAUCUAACUGUUGUCAAAUUGCCCCUUGAUUUCAACGAGAGAUAACGAACACUGUCACCAAGAGACACUGAGAGAAAUGUAUAACUCUAUAAAGAUAAGGGCAGGAGAGGGGCAAAGUUUCUU